UGUGGGAGCGGGCUUGCUCGCGAAGGCGUCCGUGUAUUCAGUAUCUAUGUAACUGAAAGACCGCUUUCGCGAGCAAGCCCGCUCCCACA
rnacentral:misc_RNA from 1 species